UGUGACUAUGCUUUUGAUGCUUGGGGACAAGGAACUAGCGUGACAGUCUCUAAUGGAGCUUCCAGCGCCCCCGUUGUCUUCCCAUUGAGUCCUAGUGAUGACCAAAACGAGGGGGACGGGCAGACGCUCACUGAUUCCAAUGUUAGCAUCGGUUGCCUCGUCAAAGGAUACUUUCCUGAACCAGCCACAGUACAAUGGAAUUCAGGCGCCAUCACCAGCGGAAUCCACAACUUCCCUCCAAUUCAUUCAUCUGGCCACUAUACUCACACCAGCCUGCUCACCAUCCCCAUCACCCAGUGGGAAUCUGAGUCAUUCCAUUGCAACGUUGAGCACGCAGCCACCCACACCACAAUUAGCAAAAAAAUUGAGCGAUGUGAAUCCCAUGAACCAGUGGCUCCUGCAGUCCAUCUGCUCCAUUCUUCUUGCAGCCCGAAAGGAAAGGAUGGAACCAUAGCGCUGGUGUGCUUCAUUGAGAAUUUCUACCCCAAUGAAAUUGAGGUUGAAUGGCUGGUGGGCAGCCACAGUGGAUUGCUGACUUCUUACACCGAACCUCCGAAGCGUGAUGCGAAAAAGUACACUUACAGUACCCACAGCUUCGUCAACAUCACCGAAGGAGAUUGGUUGGAAGGAAAUACUUACUACUGCCAGGUAACCCACGCAGCGUCACAAACAAGGACAAAAAGCAGAGCCAGGAAAUGUGAAGAUUCCAGCACCCACUUCUUCACUGCGGUUACCACCUACCUCCUGCCCCCAAAACCAAAAGACCUGUACAUAAACAGGAAUGCCAAGAUCGUUUGCGUGGUUGUCAAUCUGCAACAGGAAGAGGGGUUGAAAAUAAGAUGGUCCCGCGAGAAGCAAGAUCCCGCUCAUCCAGGAUUAGUGACGGUGACCGAAGAAAACAAUGGGACCUUCACCGUUGUCGGCCACAUCCCUGUCUCCACCCAAGAUUGGGAAUCGGGGGAGACUUUCACCUGCUCGGUCGAAUACCCAGGUUUGCCUGGUCCCAUCGUGAAGUCAAUUGCCAAAGGCAGAGAAAAGAGCAAGGCCCCCAUCGUCCAUGUCUAUCCGCCCAUCCCUGGCAAUUCGCUUAUUGUCACCUGCUUCGUUCGUAACUUUUAUCCAGCUCAAGUGGAUGUCCAGUGGCUAAAGAAUGGCCAAGCCAUUCCGGAAAAUGACUAUGUUAGCACUCCAGCUGUGAAGGAAAGGAGUGGCGAUUCCUUCUUCAUGUAUAGCAAAUUGUCAAUCUCCCAAUCGUCUUGGGAUCGGGAGGACCUAUUUAGCUGUAUGGUUGUCCACGAGGGCCUUGAAAUGAAGUUCACCCAGAAGAGCAUACAGAAAACUACGGGUAAACGUUGAAAAACUCAAUCACGUGUUGUCCUCCUACGUUCGUCCCUCAACGUGUUGGAUACAAAUCCUUUUUAAAUAGUUUACAUGUUUAUGUGUUUGUAUCCUGGCUAAAUAAAAGCAAAUCAACUCA